CCGACGGUGAGGGGUGAAAGCUGGGGGAGCAAGCCGGAUUAGAUACCCGGGUAGUCCCAGCCGUAAACGAUGUGCGUUAGGUGUAUCGGUGACCACGAGUCACCGAGGUGCCGAAGAGAAAUCGUGAAACGUACCGCCUGGGAAGUACGGUCGCAAGGCUGAAACUUAAAGGAAUUGGCGGGGGAGCACCACAACAGGUGGAGCCUGCGGUUUAAUCGGACUCAACGCCGGGAAACUCACCAGAUAAGACAGCUGAAUGAUAGUCGGGCUGAAGACUCUACUUGACUAGCUGAGAGGAGGUGCAUGGCCGUCGUCAGUUCGUACUGUGAAGCAUCCUGUUAAGUC
rnacentral:rRNA from 1 species